GGGAGGCAAGAAUGAGGAAUAAUAUUUUAUGUGAGUGGAGAAAUCUCCUGUGAGCUCUAAAUAAAAAGCUUAUUGAUAUUCUGACUUGCCUGUU
rnacentral:snoRNA from 1 species